rnacentral:misc_RNA from 1 species
UCUCCGUAGGUGAACCUGCGGAGGGAUCAUUACAGAGUUCAUGCCCUACCGGGUCGAUCUCCCACCCUAUGUUAUUAUUACUUUGUUGCUUUGGCGGGCCGUUAGGCUCCGGCCCGACUACCGGCCCCGGCUGGUAAGCGCCCGCCAGAGGACCCAAAACUCUGAAUAUUAGUGUCGUCUGAGUACUAUAUAAUAGUUAAAACUUUCAACAACGGAUCUCUUGGUUCUG